GUUGAAGCCUGACUUUUUCGUUGAGCGGCUCUGGCUUGAUCAACCCUGGGCUUCUGCUCAAUCAGGUUGUGGAUCUCACUGUCUCUACGAUAUCCGUCACACUGUCACUGGUACAGAUACUCACCUUCGCAAUGCCGACUCGACUCGUUCUUCUUCUUUCACUCGCCACUCUCCUUCUCUUCUCCUCCCUCUCCCCGACCAUCUCCAAAGACCUCCAAGACGACGACGAAGACGAGGACCUCAGCUUCCUCGAAGAACCCGACGACCAUUCCCAUCUCUCGUAUCCGGAGCAUUCUGACGAGGAACCCCUCGAAGAUGACGAUAUUGAUAACUUCGAUGAUCUCGACGAUCCGGUCGAUCAGGAUGGGUUUAAGGAGCCGGAAGUGGACGAUCCAGAUGUCGUCGUUCUGAAGGAGGGUAAUUUCAGCGAGUUCGUGGAAGAUAACCGGUUUGUGAUGGUGGAGUUCUAUGCACCGUGGUGCGGCCACUGCCAGGCCCUGGCGCCGGAGUACGCGGCGGCGGCUACUGAGCUCAAGGGCGAGGACGUAGCCUUGGCGAAAGUGGACGCGACGGAGGAGAGCGAUUUGGCUCGGGAGUACGAUGUUCAAGGGUUCCCGACUGUAUAUUUCUUCGUAGAUGGGGUUCACAAGCCUUAUACUGGCCAGAGGACCAAAGAUGCUAUAGUGACCUGGAUUAAGAAGAAGAUAGGACCUGGUGUCUACAACUUAACCACCUUGGAUGAUGCUGAACGCAUAUUGACUUCCGAAAGUAAAGUUGUUUUGGGCUACCUCAACUCUUUAGUGGGCCAUGAGAGCGAGGAGCUUGCAGCUGCUUCAAAGAAUGAAGAUGAUGUCAACUUUUACCAGACUGUGAAUCCUGAUGUGGCAAAGCUUUUCCAAGUUGACCCUAAAGUUAAACGCCCUGCUUUGGUCCUUCUAAAGAAGGAAGCAGAGAAAUUGUGUUACUUUGAUGGCCAAUUUGUUAAAUCUACAAUCUCUGAGUUUGUAUCUGCCAACAAGCUUCCUCUGGUUACCACUUUUACUAGGGAAAGUGCCCCUUUAAUAUUUGAAAGUCCCAUUAAGAAACAGCUGUUGCUAUUUGCCACUUCAAAUGACACAGAGAAGGUUGUCCCAAUAUUUCAGGAGGCAGCAAAGUUUUUCAAAGGGAAGCUUAUCUUCGUGCAUGUGGAAAUGGACAAUGAAGAUGUUGGAAGACCUGUUUCAGAUUAUUUUGGUGUCACUGGCAAUGUUUCCAAAGUUCUUGCAUACACAGGAAAUGAUGAUCCCAAGAAAUAUGUACUAGAUCAGGAAGUGACCUUGGAUAGCGUCAAGGCUUUUGGGGAGGACUUCCUAGAUGACAAGUUAAAACCUGUCUUCAAGUCAGAUCCAAUUCCUGAGAGUAAUGAUGGGGAUGUGAAGAUAGUUGUUGGGAAUAAUUUUGAUGAAAUUGUUCUGGAUGAGUCAAAGGAUGUUCUCCUUGAGAUUUAUGCUCCUUGGUGUGGGCAUUGCCAAGCACUGGAGCCCACAUACAACAAGCUUGCCAAUCAUCUACAUGGCAUUGAGUCUCUUGUUAUAGCCAAGAUGGAUGGAACAACAAAUGAGCAUCCCAGGGCAAAGUCUGAGGGCUUCCCCACACUUCUCUUCUUCCCGGCAGGAAACAAGAGCUUUGAUCCAAUUACUGUAGAUGCUGACCGUACAGUGGUUGCAUUUUAUAAAUUCCUCAAGAAGCACGCAUCAAUCCCUUUCAAGCUCCAGAAACCAACUUCAACACCAAAUUUGAAAAGUUCUGAGGCCAAGGAGAGCCAUGAGAGCAGCACUAAUGAGUUGAAGGACGAGUUAUGAGGAUUUUAAUGGAAUGAUACUGAAGUAAUACUAAUCAUUUAUAUGCCAUCAGCAAGAUGCCCUUCUAAAUCCCUUGAAAAGGAAGGUUUGAACUUCCAUGGAGAGCAUUAUUGUCUUUAUGAUGGCAGGAUCGAGAGGUUUGGCUGUUUAUGCAUAGUUAUUCCAUAUAUGAGUGUCAACCAGCCAUAUAAGGAAGGAGGAUGCUUUGUUAAUGAAAAAGAUAAGAAGGAAAGAAAAUAGGGUGAGGACUGUCACACUUUUGCUCCUCAUGUUGCAUUUAUUUCUUUAAACUGUGUCCUGCCUUGGGAUGGAUGGUUCACAUGUUAAAAAUUCAGCACAAUGAGACGGACUCAGGAAAGAAGACAAAAGAAAGAUUGUCAUCA